rnacentral:rRNA from 1 species
UACGUAGGUGGCAAGCGUUAUCCGGAUUUAUUGGGUGUAAAGGGCGUGUAGGCGGGAAUGCAAGUCAGAUGUGAAAACUCAGGGCUCAACCCUGAGCCUGCAUUUGAAACUGUAUUUCUUGAGUGCUGGAGAGGCAAUCGGAAUUCCGUGUGUAACGGUGAAAUGCGUAGAUAUACGGAGGAACACCAGUGGCGAAGGCGGAUUGCUGGACAGUAACUGACGCUGAGGCGCGAAAGCGUGGGGAGCAAACAGG